GGGGGGGGGGUGGAUAGGAGAGUCUUUGUAUCCCCAGUGCUUAACACAAUAAGAGCCUAAUAAAUGCUUACUGAGUUGAAAGGCGAUUAGAACGUCUGUAUGGAAGCAUCUCACUCCCCUGGCUUGGGUCUGGAGAUCUGAGGAUGAAGGCUGGUGUUUUGUUGGGGGGGGGGCGGUGUUCAGGUCUUCAGGGAUCCCCAGGGAGUAACACAGUGACCAGCACAUAAUAGGCACUUAAUAAAUGCUCAUCUCUUCGAAUGAUGGCUUCUAAGUGCCCGCUGGAGUACCAAGCGCCAUAAGGCAUCUGCUAGUACCAUACUGUGUAGCCCCCUCUCUUCCCAUGGUGCUCCUUCAUUCAACCUGUACAACUCUACACUAUCUUCUACUCUUGAAUCCUUUAUUCCUUUGUCCUAUUACCCAUCAUGCCUUGCCAUUCAUCAUAGCCUUUGCUCACAUGCUUAUUCAAAAGAACUAGAGGAUAUCACAGAACUGUGCUAAGUUCACUAUAAAAUUAAGCUAGUUGAUAUCACCUGGACCCUCACUUCAGCAAGGCAAUCCUACACCUCCCUAAUUGAUUCUCUUUUUCUGUCACCAUGAUAGUAUUCUCGCUACCACCCUGUCUAUGGAAGAUCUUCAUAUUUUACUGAAAAGGGGGGGGCAUUCCUUUCAUUCUCUAAAAGUUCAUCUUCUCCUCUUCGUUUCACAUACCUCUGACAUCCCCCACCAGCUCCUUCUACACUUCAGUUUCUGAAGAGAAGUUGGCACUUCUACUGACCACCCAAUCUCAUUUCUUCUGGUCUUUCCUCACAGAUUGCCCCCUGUGGUCCCUCUCUCAUCUUAAAUCUCUACUGGCUUCUUCACCACUGUCUACAGAUAUGCCCAAUCUCCUACCUCCCAUCCUUUAAAAAAAAAACCCUCUUUAGGUCCUACCAUACCUGCCAGUUAUCAUUUUAUAUCUAUUUUUGUUAAUAACUUUAGUUUACCACCUUCUCAGGUAAAUUCCAUCAAUAUUCAGUUCCUUUGCUUCCUUCCUUACCAGCUUCUAACCCCACUGUAUCUGACUUCUUCUCUCAUCAUUCAAAUGAAAUGACUCACUCCAAAAUUAUUAAUGGUCUCUUCAUUGUCAAAUCUAAUGGCCUUUUCUCAAUCCUCAUGCUUCUUGAUCUCUCUGAAGCCUUUAAAAUUGUUGAUCACCUCCUCCUCCUCCUCCUCCUGCACAUUCUCUCUUCUCUUGGUUUAUAUAUGACUGUUCUUCCUUGGUUCUCCUCCUACCUGUCUGAACAAACCAUCUGUCUCCUUUGCUGGAUAAUCAUUCAUGUCAUACCCACUAAUUAUGGGUGUCCCCCAAGGCUCUAACCAGGGAACCUUUUCUCCAUAUAUUCUUCCAUUUAGUGAUCUCAUCAGCUCUCAUGGGUUCCAUUAUUAUCUCUAUGCAGAUGAUACCUCACUCUACUUAUCUAGCAUCAUCUCUGUGUGAAUUAGAUGUUCCAUAAGCCUCUUAAACUCAACAGGUCCAACACAGGACUCAUUAUCUUUUCCUCAAACUCUCCCUUCUUCUUAAAAUACUUACUACUGUCUAGAGGAUCACUAUCAUUCCUGUGACCCAGGUUGACAACUUUAGUGUCAUCCUCAACUCCCUUCACUCCCAUACUCCCAAUCAAUUACCAGAUCAUGUCUAUAACAUCUCUUAAAAAAAUAUCCCUUUCUCUAACUUCAAACAGCCAUCACCCUCAUUAAGCCUUUCAUCACUUAUCACCUGGACUAUUGCAAUCAUCCUCCAUAUGGUCUUCCCGCUUUACCAAUACUUGUUCAAAUGAAUCUGCUUGCCAUUUCCACAUGUGACUUCUCUGUCCCUGCCUCUGGGGCCUUGCUCAUGCCACGUCCAGAAAUGGGAGAAUUCUCCUCACCUCUCCUUCAGAAACCUGUCCAAAGCCUACCAGUGAUAAUCCCUCUCCCAUUUGGUAUCAUCACCUCUUCCCUACACUUCAACCUGAUGUGCCGCCAUAGUUUGCCUGGGUUUCUCUCGGGUACCUUUCUGCUCUGUUUCUUUGACCACAACAGUCUGGUUGGAUUGAGGAUGGAAUCAAGGCCAUUGGGGAAAUCAAGUACUCUGGUUAACUGAAUUUCCAAACACUCAGAGAUUAGUGAUUUUCACAGAAUCAGGAUACAAUCAAAUAUAAUGCUAAGAGCAUUCUGAGCAGAAAUCCACCUUUCUUUAACGAUUCCAAAGACUUUUGCUGUCAAAAACAGGGUAUAGUAAACACUCACCAUCCUGGUGAAAAUUACCGAAUGGGAAUUGGAAGGGACCUCAGUUCCUUCCUGGUCCAACUAAUUCUCCCCAAACAUCAAAGACUUCUAUUGAAAGGGAAGCCACUAUCUCUAAGGCGGAAAAUUCCAUUCCUCAGCAGCUCCUGACAUCAAGCCUCAAUUUGUCUCUGCAACUUCCACAUUCUACCUACUGGGGUCAGGUAAGGCUUGUCCAAACCCUCUUCCCUGCAGCCUUGCAGACACUUGAAGACACCAUUGCAUCUUUCCUCCCCAAGUCUUCUCCAGGCCAAGCAUGCUCAGUUCCUUCAGGCCAUCCUCAGAGCCUGCACACUUUCCUCCUCUGCACCCUUCCUAGCUUAUUGCUAUCCUUCAACAGGAGCUCCCACGAUUGAGCACAGUAGCUUAAAAUGUGUUCUGACCACGGCAGAGGACAACAGGACUGUGGCCUCCUUAUACCUGGAAGUUCCAUCCAAGAGUCAAUGUCAGCUAGGCAAAUGGAGAGAACCCCAAACUCUCUGUAACCAAGAUGCUGCUCAGCUCCCACUUGCAAGAAAACUUCCUGAGGUUUUGCCUGGGGCACCUGCCAGCAUCUAGAAACAAUGACAACUGAGUGAAACCAAGGAGUCAAUCCUAAAGUCCUUGAGGGAACCAACUGGUGCACAGAGAUGUGUGGCCUAAUUCCAAAGGUGAGAGAAGCUCAGCAUCAUUAGCCAGAGGCAGCCUCAUGUCUGGGCAGAGUGGGCAGCCGCCUGCCAGGUAUCACUGAGGAGGCAUUUUAAGGUCUCCUUGUCCUGAAAUAGCCCUCCUCUCCACCAUCCAUCCCCCAAAGGCCUGAAAUUCCCUCAUUACUUCUUCUUCCCCUUCAGGCAUUGACAGUCCUGGAUAAAUGCAAAUGUUCUCCAGAUGGGGCAAUCCAUUAGUCCAUUAUCAGCCAGGAACAAUUUAGCUGGAAUUCGUUUAUAAGGUCAGCCACCCCUAGUUGAGUCCUAAAGGGACAGAGAAGAUGAAGAGAGAGGAAACCCUAAGGCUAGGCAGAGUGCCUUUCAGGCUUACACUGUGGAAAGAGAACUAGGCCCUGGGUUUACAAAGUGCAGUACACAGCAUUUAAGUCCUUUCACAGCCUGGCUCCUGCCUUUCUUUCCAGGUCAAUGGCACUUUUCUCCCAUUUAUACUCAUAUUCCAAGUUCCUACCACACAGGCUGACUUGUUCCUGGCCAACCGCAUUCUCUCUCUCAUCCUUGGGCCUUUGGGCAGACCAUUUCCCAAGUCUAGAACACCCUCCUUCAUCUCCGUCUCUCAGAAUCCCUGCCCAGCUCAAGUGCUCCCUCCUGUAUGUUCUGCAGCCCAUUCUCCAAUUAUGUUGCCUUUACCAUGUGUAUAUCUUGUAUUCCUUUACAUGUAUUCAUGUUGCUUUCCGUCAAGGAAACGCUUUCCUUUGUCUUUCAUGCCCAAUACCAAGCAUGGUAGUACCAAGAGGGCCCUCAAUGCCUAAUGACAAAUAGCGGGGUAACUUUCAGGCAAGAGUAUGCUAGAGCCAGUUCAAUCCAGCUGGACAACUAUUAGAUUUUCAGUAGAAGCAUUUACACCUUGGAAACCAACUCUGCAAAUCAAGGCUGGAUUUAGAACCAAGAAAGUGAUGGGGAAAAAAUGUUAAGAAAGCAGAUUGACCUUAAAAGUACAUCCAGCCUAUUUCUCCAUACUCUCCCCCAAAGCCAGUUGUUAAACAUUUACCAACAUACCCCUGCCUUCAAGUCAACAAAUAUUUAUUUUUUAAUGUUGUUUAAAAAUAUUUUCCCAUGGUUACAUAAUUCAUUUUCUCCCCCCCUCCCCCCUUUUCUCUCCCCACGCCCGGAGAUGACAAGCAAUUCUACUGGUUAACAAAUAUUAAGUGCUUACUAUGUGCCACGUACUGUGCUAAGUGUUGGGAAUACAAAGUUCGCAAAGCCACAGGCCUGCCCUUGAGAAGUGCAGAGGCUAAUAGGGGAGAAAACCACCCAAAUGUCCUCCAUGAUCUGAGGCAUACCACAACCUCUCUGACCUCGGAUUCUUCAAGGAUAAAACAAGGAACUGGAUGAUCCCCAAAGUCCGUGACGCUAUGAGGAGCAAGGGAGAAAGAGGCCAUUGUGGGAAGGGGAGGGGAGCGUCCCCAUGAGGGCACAGAAAGGGGGGCAGUACCAAAGGGAGGACGGUCUCAAAACGGGAGCUGGAGGGGUCCUAAGGAUGAACUUUCUGGUUUUGUCGCUGGUCCACACUGUCCCCAUCACAGGACAAGCUCACUCCUGCUGCCUUGGGGGCUCCCAGGAUGGCUCUUGAGAUGCUGCUGCCUCUGGUCUAGGGUGUGGCCAACGUCCUCCUGCUGCCCAGAAACCCCAUGCAAACCCCGGAUGAAGGAAUACUAGAAAAGAGCUUUCUGCGCUGGUGAUUUUUUUUUUCCUGUUGUAGUUGUUUUAAAAAAGCAACAUGACAACCCUUAAUUAACCCACCAGCUUCAGGCAAAAGCGGAGCCAACUGCGGCAAAGAUCUAUCUCCCUGCCUGCCUGUGCCUCACACCCGCCCGCUCCAGCUGCCUGCUGCCAUGCUGGCAAAGAGAUAAAGGGCACUGCCAAACGGGGAAAGCAGGGCCCGCAAAGGGACACUAAUAACCUCGUGUCAGGAGAACAAUUUCAGGCAUCCUGCCUUUCCUACCCCACGUGUACCCUCAAGCGCAGUCACAUGGCUUGGAGCCUUUCACUGACCAGCCAGGUUCCAGCUUGGCACUGUGGCCAGCCCCCAAAGCCAGGCCAGAUUACCUCCACGUCAUGCCAUUUCUUCCAAAGAUAGGAGUGCCUCUGCCUCUUACUCACUUGUUCCCUAGUGUCGUGAAUGAAAUUUAACAAAAAAGUAAACUGAGGUAUGUUUCUCUGAGCAAGAUGAUGGUUUAUUAGCAAGAGUGCUACUGGCCAAUAAAACAGUUUCCAGCCAAAGACCUAGAAUUGAAGAUGCAACUCUUUUUUUUCAAAAGCAUAGAACAAAGAACAGAGCAAAACUAGCAUUGGCCAGCAUCACAACAGUGAGGGAUUGUGAUUGAAUAUAUGAAGGAAAGUGGGCAUCACUUAUACAUGGGACAAAGGCUACUUCUCUGUGUCUCUAAGGAAUUCUUUUGUCAAUUUGUGGGCCCUAGCUGCAUCCCCAGGUCACGAGUUUGGACCCAGGGCACACUCACUGGAGUCUUGAGGAUUACAUAAAACCAGCUUGUUCAUAGACAACGCUGAGACAAAGUCAGCUAGUUCACUUCUCAAAGGUAUCACAGCAAACCUUGCAGGUCUCGCUGAGGUUACAAUUUUUUUUUAAACCCUUGCCUUUCAUCUUAGAAUCAAUACUGUAUUUUGGUUCCAAGGCAGAAGAGCAGUAAGGGCUAGGCAAUGGGGGCUAAAUGACUAGCUCAGGGUCACAUAGCCAGGAAGUAUCUGAGGUCAAAUUUGAACCCAGAACUUCCUGUCUCUAGGCCUGGCUCUCAAUUCACUGUGCCACCAGACUGCCCCCUCUGGAUCUGUCUUCUUGACAAUACUCCUAAAACAUUUAACUCAGUGCCUUCAACCCCAUCACCUUGCCCUAAAACCGUAGCCAAAAAAGAGGUGCCCAACAGCCAUUCUUUCCAGAACCUAUAAGGCAAAACACCUGAAAGUCUUUUAAAUCAUUUCCUGGUCUCUAGGCAGGGCUAGAGAAUUCCCAUCAAACAUUAAAGGAGCUCAAGUAGUAUCAGUUCUAGGCUCCCCAUCAGAUACAUUCCAAAAGGAGCCCUUUGCUGGCAAGGUCAGCAAAUCACUAGAGAAAAGAAAGGAACUAAGAAUGACCUUCAGAAUGGAAAAGACUUUUUUUUUAAGCGAAUAAUAGGAAGGAAGCAAGUAAGCAUUUAUUAAGCACCUACUAUAUACCAGGCACUGUGCUAAGCACUUCACAAUUAUUAUCUCAUAUGAUCCUCACAAUAACCCUGAAAGGGUAGUUAUUACUCUUAUUUUUGCAAAUGAAGAAACUGAGGCAGAAAGAAAUUAAUUGAUGGCCACAUAAGUAAGUGUCUGAAGUCAAAUUUGAACUUGGUCUUCCUGACUCCAGGCUCAGCACUCUGUCUAGUACCACCUAGUUGCAAUGAGAGUUGAUACCUCAUAAAAGUAAGGAGAUAAUAAGAGAGUGCCCAUCAGCUGACCCAGAGGAACUAAAACCCUCCGGUACGUAAAAGAAGAGGUGAAUGUGAUUGCAGAACCACCAUUAGUGAUAUCUGAAAGAUCAUGAAGAAUGAGAGCGAGAACCACAAGAGUGGCAAAGGGGAGAUAUUGAACCAUUUUUUUUACAUGGAAGAGAACAGAAACAAUAAACUAUAGGCUAGUGGGCUAGUCUUGGAUUCCUAGCAAAAUCCCCAAACAUAUCAUUAAAGAGGUGGUCAGUGGAUCUGUAGAAAAGGAAGCAGGCCUAACAAAGCUCCGCCAGCUCUGUCUCUUCAGGGCAUGCCACACUAACUUUUGUGUUUUUUGACUGAGUUCCUAACUCGAGUGGCAGGUCAGGGAAUGCUUGAGGUAUCGAUUGCCCAGGUCGUGUUUGUUCUGUUUUUUAACCAAAGCAUUGAUGGAGCUUUGCAUGACAUUCUGGUCUUCUUUAAACCUGGGGAGAUUAUUGUUAGUAUAAUCAUUGGAUUCCUUUUCUCAAGAUUCUCAGAUUUAGAAGCCCGGAGAGCGGCCACCAAUGGUUCAGUGCCAUUGGAAGGGGCUCUCCAAAGGAGGCAGCCCAGGAACCAGAGCUUGCUCCUGGGGCAUUUUACAUUUUUGUCACUCAUUUGGAUGAUGUCCCCAAUGGCAUGCUCAGGCUCUGGAUAAUAUUCAGUGAGGAGGGACAGCAACCACGCUGGAUGACAGAGUCAAUAUCCAAAAACCCUUAACAGGCCACCACACUGGGCUUGCUUAACCUCUCUAGGGGUCAAUUCCUCACCUUCAAAUAAGGGAGUUGGCAUGGAUGGCCUUCUGAGGUUGCUUAAUGCUCUUCAGCUAGGAUCCGAGGUCCUCAUGAUCUAAUAGGAUGAACUUUUUUCAUAAGGUGAAAGUUAACAAGGAUAAAUAUAGGCUUACACUUCGGUUCAAAAAAUCAACCUUAUAAGUGCAAAAUGGCAGUGGGAGAAGCAGGGCUAGAAAACAAUUUAUCUGUAAAAAGAUCUGGGGUUGUGGGUGGAUUCCAAGUACGAUAUGAGUUGGAUGUUAUAUGACAGCCAAAAAAAAAAAUCACUGCAGUCUGAGGCUUCAUUAAGAAGGCCAUAGCUUCCAGCAAUAGGCAGGUGAUAACACCACUGGACUCUGCCUCCGUCAGUGCAGUGGGGGCGCCAUGAUUUAAGAAAGGUGUUGACAAAUUAGAGAGGGUCCAAAGGAUGACGACCAGAAGAGGGAAGGGUCUGGACUCCAGAUCUAUUGGCUUCAUUGCAAUUUUCUACCCAUUGCUUCUAGAUUUGGCCAGAGAAGACGAAGCCUAAUCUUUCUUCCAUUUGGCAGUCUCAGAUACUUGGACAGCUAUCAGAUACCCCUAAGUCAAGUACUCAGCAAGUGAACUAUCAGUGGCCUGUUCCAGAGUCUAAUGAUGCCUACAAUCAGAAGCUCCCUUUCACUCUUACCUAAACUCCUCACCAUAGAGUGACUGCUCAUUUUCUCUCCUUAGCAAAGAAUAAGCUCUAUCUAUUGGACAUUUCCAAUUGAGAUGCCACAACUUCUCUCCAAUCCCAAACCAAGUUCAUCAACUUCACCCUCAAGCCAGAAGCCCUUCUCAACUGACUUUCUCAAAAGGCAGAAGAGAAGAGGUGAGAGGAAUAAACAAUCUGGCACAUUUGGAGUUCAUCCUUCAGGCAUCCCCUGCAUUGUCAUGCACUAUUCACCCUGCUAAAAUGGUAUGUUCUGAAUGGCAGGUCUAUGAUUACCUAUUAUCAUUAAUAUCACAGUAGCACUGUUAAUAUUAGCUGUUCUGUUAGUAAUCUGCACAUGUAGGCUGCCUCCAGCAGCUUUCUACCAAGAAACCAGAGCACUUAACUAGGGCAGGGCAACUGGUGCUUUGACUAAGACACUGCCUUGGGGCUGGUCCCCAUCACCCCUCUGGUGGUUCUGCAGUGGCAGGCUACACUCCAGAGCCCUGAGAUCAAGUCUGAGCUCUGUUGCCUUCCAUCUGGGCAAUCUUAGGUGGUUGCUCCACCUCCCUGGAUCUCGGCUUCCUCCUCAAAACAAGGCAUCUAGACCAGAUGCUCGGUAAGCUCCCUUCUAGCUCUCAGUGUAGAAUUCUAUAAUCCUAUGCCCAAGGAGCACAGCAGCCUCAGCCCCUCUCAGAGGGUCUGCCUUCCACCAGCCCUGUGGCCUCCCACACUUACACACACACAUCCUCCCAAGGACAGGGCAGCUGGGGGCUAUUGCCCAAGUCACUCACAGGUUCUCAGGCGAGGCUGGUGGAGGAGAGGACAGGGUCACCCCUUUCCUGGUGUGAGUGUAUCUUAGCAGACUGUCCUCUGCAUGGCAUGGGCGAGGGGCUGACCUGGCUUCCUGUGGGUCUCAGCCCAUACCCCACCUUCUGCCAGUGGCUUCCCUCUGAGAUUUAAGGCACUCUGGUAUAUUUGCUUACAUGCUGUGACCCCCUUUAAAAUGAAAGCGCCUUGAGGCCAGGGACCAUGUCUUGCCUUUCUUUUUCUCCCCAGCAUAGCACAAGCCCUGGGGUACAGUAAGCACUUAAUAAAUAAAUGCUUGUGGAUGGAUGUCCUAAAAGAGUCCAUCCUAAGCUAGAUGCUCUACGAUGGGAAGUCAACACCUUUCCUCAGAGUGGCCCUAACCCCUGACAAGUCACUUGACCUGUUUUCCUCAGUUUCCUCAUUUGACAAAUGAGCUGGAGAAGGAAAUGGCAAAUUACUGCAGUAUCUUUGCUAAGAAAAUUCCAAAUGGGAUCACAAAGGGUCAAACAUGACCGAAACAACUCAACAGCAACACUCUCCUCUCUCACCAACCCCCAUGCCCUUAUCUAGCAACACCCACUUUUUUCAGUCAGCUCCUCAUACACAAAGCCAAAAGCAAGGGAACCGUGUCUUGACACACUGCCGGGGUAUUUGUUUGUUUGUCCAUUUUUCAUGUGAAGGGAAAGAAGUUUAUUGGAAAAUAAACAUCCAGACAGUGUGACAAUAGCAGCAACAUAUACAGAACCUAGUUGUAAGACUUCCGAGCUCUGUAUCCACUGCCUAGACUACUCUCUUUUAAAAAAAAAAACAUGUAAGGGAAAUCAAGGGAAGGGAGGUUGGGAGGGAAACAGGCUGUCUUCACUGUUUGGUUAAGAGAUGGACUCUUGGCACUCCAAUCCACCCCCUUUGUAGAGGUGGGAGGGCAGCAAGUGAUGCAUGUUGCACAUAUUUUCAGACUUCUUAAUGUACUGAUUGGUUUUGCCAAUUUUUGUCUUUCUUUUUGCCUUAUAAAAAAUAUUACAUAGAAGGGUAGCUAAAUAGCUCAGUGGAUUGAGAGCCAGGCCUAGAGAUGAGAGGUCCUAGGUUCAAAUCUGGUCUCAGAUACUUUCUAGAUAUGAAACCCAGAGCAAGUCACUUAAUCCCUUGUCUAGCCCUUACUGCUCUUCUACCCUGGAAUCAAUACACAGUGUUGAUUCUAAGAUGGAAGUUAAGGGUUUAAAAAAAAUUACUCAUUCUAGGGGAUGACUCUCUGGGAGGGAGAAGAAGAAAGAAUACUGAGAGGAAACUAUGGUGAUAUAGAAAACAAAAGCUAUUGAUAAAAUUUAUAUUAAAAAUAAUGAUGCUUAAGUUUGGGUUGUUUUUGUUUCUGUUUUUAAGCAAUGGGCUCUUGGAUUGUUAUUCCAAAGAAACAAAUCUAGGGAUCCAAGGCCCUUUACCUGAGGCCUCCAUUGUCAACAGUCUGCCUUCUUGCUGUGUCCCAACCAGGUCAACUCAAAUCUGGGGAUACUAGGUUGAUUUCAUUGCGGGGGAACCAAUGCCUGGAAAGAUGUCGGGUCUUCUUUCUACUUCCUCCAAAUGUAAAAUUCAUCCAGUCUCAUCAAACCACUCUGAACUAAACAUUCAUUACAUAUGUGGAAGCAACUGGCUACCCUUCCUGCUGCUAGUCUUUCAAAAGAUAGCAGUCAUCCCCUAUGCCAGAGGGGGGAUUCUUCAUCU